rnacentral:lncRNA from 1 species
UAAAUUAUAUAUAUAUAUAUAUAUUUUAAACAUAUAUACAAUUGACAUAAAUUAUAUUCCACCUCCAAACUCAGGAACCCCUACUCACUGGACACUCUACCCACGCUCUAGAAAAUUUCUAGAAAUUGAAAACUUCUUCUGGAUAUUACACCCAACUCCAUAAGUACUACAUUUACUUACCACUAUCACAUUCAAUUCAAAUCCACAAUCAUAAACAUUACAUUCACUUACCUGUGUUAUCUGUUAUUGUCUGUGAUCAUGUUAGUCUAAUUUGUGAUUGUAUGUAACAAAGUCACAUACAAUUAUAAUUAACAUAUAUUUGGUAACAGACAAUCACAAUGAAGAUAGAUUUAGUUACACUACGUUGCCAUCACUACCACCAAUCCCAACAAUAUCGAGAACAGAAAGCACACAACUUUACCAUGACCACAUGCACCACCAACAACAACACCAUCGUCGCCUACACUACCAUCAACAAAACCACCCUACAGAUCCGGAAAUCACCAGCACUAUUUGAAAAACACCAACAACCAUCCCAAAAAUUUGGCUAAACAAUAGAUCUGAUAAAACAACCACCCACGACAUGUGAUUAAACAACUGCUUACACCAACACAUCAAACAACAGAUCUGCAAUUUCCCACAAAAACUGAACUAGAAUAGCUUGCCCCUCAGUGCCGCCAACAGGAAAUUACUCAGCGAUACCACUCAUCCCUGCAUAGUGGCGGCUCAUUGCAAGCAGAGCUCAUCCCUGCUCGCAUCACCUAAUCUAUGAAUUGUAAAUUAAUUUUCCUUGUUUAUGAUAAUUAGUUUUUAAUUGUAGGUUUCUAGGUAAUUUUUACAAUUAAUAAUUUUUUUGGAUAAAGUAUCUUAAAUAUAAUACAUUGAAUCACUUUAUUAAGCUC